rnacentral:misc_RNA from 1 species
GAUGAAGAACGUAGCGAAAUGCGAUACGUAAUGUGAAUUGCAGAAUUCAGUGAAUCAUCGAGUCUUUGAACGCACAUUGCGCCCCUUGGUAUUCCAUUGGGCAUGCCUGUUCGAGCGUCAUUUACAUCCUCAAGCUCAUGCUUGGUGUUGGGCGUCUGUCCGCGCUUUCGGCGCGGACUCGCCCCAAAUCCAUUGGCAGCGGCUUCGCCGGCUUCUCGCGCAGCACAUUGCGAUCUUGAAGGCUUUCGGCGGGCUCGCGUCCAUCAAGUAACCCCCAAUUUUGACCUCGAAUCAGGUAGGGAUACCCGCUGAACUUAAGCAUAUCAAUAAGCGGAGGA